rfam:Loxodonta africana unplaced genomic scaffold scaffold_143, whole genome shotgun sequence.
GGGGUUAUAGCUUGAUGGUAGAGUGAGUGCUUAGCCUCUCUGAGGCCCUGGGUUCAAUCCCAGUAUCUCCA